rnacentral:tRNA from 1 species
GGCAGGGUAGCUCAGUUGGUAGAGCAGGGGACUGAAAAUCCCCGUGUCACCGGUUCAACCCCGGUCCCGGCCACCA